rnacentral:lncRNA from 1 species
GCCCUCGUGGCUCCGCCUCGGGGCGUCCGGCGAGGCCGGGCGUCCCUUGCCUGGCGGCGGGGCCCAGGGUUCUGCCCAGCCGGGCGGCGGGGUCCUCGCGGCGCUGCAUCCGCGGAAAGAGGGGGCGGGGGGGCGGCCGAACGAGCGGGGGGACCGAGAGGGCGAACAGGGUUGCCGCGCACCGACCGCCGGGGCUCCCAAGACAGGAAGUGAAGGGCCGGAAACAGCACCCCCUCCGCCGCCAACAGCUCUUCGCCCACUGCGCCUGCGCUCCCGCCGCCGCCCGCUCCCGUGCGGCGUGGACGUUCGCCCACCGCCCCCGUCACAGAAGGCUCAAGCACUAAGCAUGCGCUGCCUCCUCCGUCGAGAACAAAGCGCCGAAGGGAACUGAUGCGCAUGCCCAACCGUCGCCCGCUGUCGUCCGUGCGCACGCGCAACCUUCAGCCCGCGAAGACGCGCGCGCGAGACUCUCGUUGCGCACGCGUCGCGCUUAGCGGCGCCUUAUUAAGUCACAGCCCCGCCGAAAACAAAGUACCAAGGGACCUCAAUGCGCCUGCGCAGCCCUCUAACAAGAUGGAGUCCAGCCAGAAGUGGAGUCAUAGCUGCAAGAAGGGGCAGGGUCUUGCUGAACCCAGGCUCUGAGUCAGCUGUAUCCGGUGUUCCACCCCUUCUACAAAGAAGCAGAUCAAUGGGUCAUUCAUACCUUUCACUGGAGCUACCUGGAGCCCGGCCAGAUGAAUCAGUCUACUAAACCUGUUCUCCCUUCUGUGUGCCUGUUGCUCACCUCUACCUAUGUUCUCGGGCCUUCUUCCAAUUCCCUUCUACCUCCCUCCUCUCAUCCUGUUAGGAUGAAGCUUGAGAACUAUUUCCAUUCCCAGAAUACAUAGUAUGUUGUUUUUGUUGGGUAUUUGUCUGGCAUUGGGAACUGACAUCAUAAUAAGUCACCAAUGGCAGUAAGGUAUGUAAACACCCCAGGUCUGGCUCCACUCAUCUCACUGGAGUAACCCCCUGUGGAAUUCCAACGAGAUACACUAGAAUAAUGGAGAUCAGGAUCUGGGGCCUGAUCCGAAGCCCAGUGUAGUCAGCUGGAGUCAUUGAUGUCAGUGGGCUUUGGAUCAGGCCUCAGUCCCCUGAUCUUACCCCCUUACUCCAGCCAUCUAAACUUUCUCUUUGAAUCAGUGCUUUGGUAAAUGCCAAGGGAAGAAGCGAGACUGUUCAGCUUUCUCAGAGUUAUUAUUUCAGGCUGCCUGUAGACUCAUGCUUGGUUACAUUUGUCAUGUCUUCAAGGUUUCCUUUGCAACCAUAAGGGCUAGACGCAUUUUUUAAAAAUGAAAACUGGGAUUCAGGAGCACAAUUGUGCAUAAGAGGUGAUUUCCAUGGCAAACGCCACAGCUGUGGGAUACAUGAGGGCCAGUGUUAUGACCCCUUGUGCCACCCCAAAUCAUUUAUCCCCUCUAAUGUAUCUCUACAGUUCUUUUCAUGAACCGAAAGAAGCAGCAUGACAAGUCUAUUUGCCCUCUUUGUAUCCUGCUCUUUCCAGUGCUCUCCACCUUCCGUAAUUACUAGCUGCUGGCUUCUAGCACAAAUCAAACUUCUCCGCUCGGUGAACAACACAACCAUGCUUUUCUCCAGGGUUUAUGGU